UAUGUAGCCUAUUUCCAGAGGUGAAUUACUGAGCUGUCUACCAGACCAAGGCCCAGGGGCUCAUGGGCUCAGGGGGCCCUGAAGACCAAACCUCUAGCUAGAUGCCUUGAAUUUGAUGAUGGUUGUCAUUUGUAAGGCUUCUGCUUUAGGUAAACGUUUGCUACCUUGACUCUAAGUAUAUACUAACCAACCAUUAUCAGCACCUCCAAUAAAAGCCCACUUUGGCAAAGUGAGCUGGCUGAGCACGGUGAUUGCUUAGGCUAUGAG